GUCGUGGGAGAAAGUCGGAGCAAUCCGGCUAGUAAACCGGCGCACGGGUGAGUAACACGUGGGCAACCUGCCUUGGAGACCGGGAUAACCCGUCGAAAGACGGGCUAAUACCGGAUAAGACCCCGGGUAGUUCGCUACCUGAGGUAAAAGUUGGCCUCUGCUCCUGCAAGCUAUCACUUCAAGAGGGGCCCGCGGCCUAUCAGCUAGUUGGUGAGGUAACGGCCCACCAAGGCUAAGACGGGUAGCUGGUCUGAGAGGAUGGUCAGCCACACUGGGACUGAGACACGGCCCAGAGUCCUACGGGAUGCAGCAGUCAGGAAUAUUGCGCAAUGGAGGAAACUCUGACGCAGCGACGCCGCGUGGGUGAUGAAGGCCUUCGGGUCGUAAAGCCCUGUCGGAGGGGAAGAAAAGCUCGCUGGCUAAUAUCCAGCGGGCCUUUGACGGUACCCUCAAAGGAAGCACCGGCUAACUCCGUGCCAGCAGCCGCGGUAAGACGGAGGGUGCGAGCGUUGUUCGGAUUGACUGGGCGUAAAGGGCGUGUAGGCGGUUGGUCAAGUCUGGUGUGAAAGCCCGGGGCUCAACUCCGGAAGUGCACUGGAAACUAACCAGCUAGAGCGCGAGAGAGGAGGGUGGAAUUCCUGGUGUAGCGGUGAAAUGCGUAGAUAUCAGGAGGAACACCGGCGGCGAAGGCGGCCCUCUGGCUCGUUGCUGACGCUGAAACGCGAAAGCGUGGGGAGCAAACAGGAUUAGAUACCCUG
rnacentral:rRNA from 1 species